AGAGUUUGAUCAUGGCUCAGAAUCAACGCUGGCGGCGUGCCUAACACAUGCAAGUCGAGCGAGAAAGGGGCUUCGGCCCUGAGUACAGCGGCGCACGGGUGAGUAACACGUGGGUAAUCUGCCCUAGAGUGGGGAAUAACACCGGGAAACCGGUGCUAAUACCGCAUACGAUCGCGAUGUCUUCGGAUGUUGUGAUGAAAGGAGCAAUUCGCUCUUGGAGGAGCCCGCGGCUGAUUAGCUAGUUGGUGAGGUAAUGGCUCACCAAGGCAACGAUCAGUAGCCGGUCUGAGAGGACGGUCGGCCACACUGGAACUGAGACACGGUCCAGACUCCUACGGGAGGCAGCAGUGGGGAAUUUUUCGCAAUGGGGGCAACCCUGACGAAGCAACGCCGCGUGGGUGAUGAAGUCUCUUGGGACGUAAAACCCUUUCGACGGGGAAGAAACCGCAAGGUUGACGGUACCCGUAGAAGAAGCCCCGGCUAACUCCGUGCCAGCAGCCGCGGUAAUACGGGGGGGGCGAGCGUUGUUCGGAAUUACUGGGCGUAAAGGGCGCGUAGGCGGUUCGCUAAGUUGAAUGUGAAAACUCUGGGCUUAACCCAGAGCCUGCAUUCAAUACUGGCGGGCUAGAGUUCUGGAGGGGAUAGCGGAAUUCCUGGUGUAGCGGUGAAAUGCGUAGAUAUCAGGAGGAACACCGGUGGCGAAGGCGGCUAUCUGGACAGAGUCUGACGCUGAGGCGCGAAAGCUAGGGGAGCAAACAGGAUUAGAUACCCUGGUAGUCCUAGCCCUAAACGAUGGAUACUUGCUGUGACUGGGAUUGAAUCCAGUCGUGGCGAAGCUAACGCAUUAAGUAUCCCGCCUGGGGAGUACGGUCGCAAGGCUGAACUCAAGGAUUGACGGGGCCCGCACAGCGGUGGAGUAUGUGGUUUAAUUCGACGCAACGCGAAGAACCUUACCUGGGCUCGAACGGCUGGUGACAGAUGA
rnacentral:rRNA from 1 species